CCUACGGGAGGCAGCAGUGGGGAAUAUUGCGCAAUGGGCGAAAGCCUGACGCAGCGACGCCGCGUGAGGGAUGAAGGUCUUCGGAUCGUAAACCUCUGUCAGCAGGGAAGAACGGUCACUGUGCUAAUCAGCAGUGAAUUGACGGUACCUGCAAAGGACGCACCGGCUAACUCCGUGCACGCAGCCGCGGUAAUACGGAGGGUGUGAGCGUUAAUCGGUAUUACUGGGCGUAAAGCGCUCGUAGGCGUUAUGUCAAGUCAAGGGUGAAAUCCCCGCGCUCAACGUGGGAACUGCCUUUGAAACUGGCAGACUGGAGUUGGUGAGAGGAUAGUGGAAUUCGAGGUGUAGGGGUGAAAUCCGUAGAUAUCUGGAGGAACAUCAGUGGCGAAGGCGGCAAUCUGGCACAUAACUGACGCUGAGGAGCGAAAGCGUGGGUAGCAAACAGGAUUAGAUACCCGAGUAGUC
rnacentral:rRNA from 1 species